GCUUAAAUCUAAAAAAGUCAGAUUGAGGGAAGUCAUGAUACCGAGGUUGGCAAGGACCACUUUGAAUGUAUGCCCUACAUACUUCAUCGUGAUGGUUUGGAUGAUACUCCAAUAUUGGAGUUCUUUCAGCUGGAUUGGACCAUGGAACAAUUGUAUCAAUUUCUUGUCGUAGAGAAGAAUGCGAGGGAAAACAUGAUUGAUCGGCAUUUUCUUCUC
rnacentral:lncRNA from 1 species